rnacentral:lncRNA from 11 species
GCUGGCUGAGUUGGCUUCCUGAGAAGCCUAUUGCAUUUGAGCCCCGUCCUAACCCCCACUCGGGCCUUUUGACGCUGGUUGGAUGCCCUGUUCUCCGUUCUGGCGAUGGGCAGCUCCCCCUGGCCUUUCUGUGCCCAGAAAGGGCCUUCUCGCCUCACGGAGCGACGUGCCUCCUGCCCAAGGACCCAUUGGGCCCCUCGGAGCAGAGGGAUCCGUGGGAAGGAGACCCCAGAGGCAGCUUUUAGGGUCGAGGCCAGGCCUAAGGACGUUGAGGCUGGAGUUCCUUGAACUGAAGCGAGCGGCGAGAGCAGCGACUGCGCAGGCGCAGCUGGUCGCCCAGAGAGUUCGCUCGCCCUGCGAAGCCCCUGGAAAUGAAUGGCGGUGCCUGGCCAGCGCAGCAGUGCCGGGUUCGUAUCGCGGCGCCUUUAGAGCCAUUGCGAGCAGCCGCUGCCUUCCAUCCAGGAGAGCGAGAGCGCUUCUGGCUGUGUUUUUGUAUUGCUUUGCAAGCGCCGUUUCCUUCCACGGAGAGAAGGAAGGCGACCCGAGGGUGGCAGGAAAUCAUUUGCUGGGCCAGGGCAAAGGCAAAGGAAAGAGGCCCACAGCCACAAGAGCAACGAGCCAGGAAAAAGGCAGGCAGGGAGAGAGGGGAGGAAAGAAAGGCACACGGUAUAAAUCUGGCAGCAUCUGGAAGCAAGCGAGCGAAAGAGAGAGAGAGAGGCAGAGGGAGAGAGAAAGAGAGACCUUUAUGAAACAAUAGAUGGAGUGGGCGGCGGAGGGGGAAGGUUAUGUCUAUGACGUUCGCCCUUUCAGCAAUAACAACAGAUCGAUCCCGGCUCCCCCACUACACACGCUCCCACGGACAGCAUAUUUGAUGGCGGAUAUGUUUUUUUUUUAAAUUUUGGGGAAGGAUGUAAAUAGCAAGCCCACACCUCGAAAUGUGAAUAUACGUAGAGAAGCAGCGCGCCGUGUGUUUGUCCGCACGGCCUUCGGCGCCAGGCUCCACUCUGAAACGCAGGGGAGAAAAGUUGGUCUAUUUUUAAGGUCGCCGUUGCUUGGGCUCGCCAUGCUUCCAGCAAAGCGAACGCUUCAGGAAGGGAGCGGUGCGGGAGGAAGGCAGGAAGGAAGGGGGGUGAGGGAAGGAAGGCCUUGUGGGCCGAGAUAAAUGGAGGGAUUGACUGCAGCUCGCUGGUCCAAGGAGAAUGACUGUGCAGGAAGGAAAAGGCUUCCGACGGAUCUCCGGGAGAGAGCUAGAGAGCGAGAGAAAAGGAGAUGCGAGCUGCCUCCUCCGCGGCAGACUCCCCCCUCCCCUUCCCCCUCCCCGCCGCUGCGCCUGCGCACUGGGCCCUGGAGGGCCGCCUGCUCAGGAAGCGUGCCCCGCGCUGCCUCUCCGGCCUCUCGCUCCACCAAGGCGUAAGGCCCCAUUAAUAUGAAACGCCUUGCUACACAAAAAGGCGUCGCUAAUUAGGAAAUUGAUGGGGACUCGGGGAGGGGCCGCCUUUGUGCUCCAGGCCUGUCGGGAGGUGCAGCUGAACAGAACAGACCCUGCCUGCCUGCCGGCCUCCAAAGACCAGCACGGCCUCGCCAGGCCUCGCCCGGGGCAACGGGGGACGAGGAGAAGGGGGGGGGGCACCGGGACCCCUCCGCUUGACCCACCGCGAGGGUCUCGGUGGGAUUCCACAUCGGCUAAGCUUUGUCAAGGGAAAUUCAGGAGAUAUUGUUGGGAGCAUCUACACCAGUUGUUCUCAACUUUCCUAAUGCCACGGCCCUUG